ACCAGUGCCUUCUCACUAAGCCAUCCUUGUCUCUCACUGGGCCCUGGGAGGCUGCCGGCCUGGUCUCCACCUCCUCCAUAGCUCCCUUGGGCUCUUUUCUGCACGUAUCCAGAGUAGGCUCUUAAAGCAGAAAUUAGAUUAAGUCACUUGGAGUGGCCAGCUGUCAACACUGAGCACGGCUGAAGUCUUCGCCUGACCUGUACAAUUUGCAUGACCUGGCCUUUUUGACCUCAUCUCCUAUCACAUUCUUCCUUUCUUCUGCCCAACCACACUGUCGUCUCCUCUCGCCGCUAUUCCUGUCCCAGUGUUUUACACAUGCUAUUCCUUCCAUAAAGGACAAAAAGCUGGCUUCCUUUGCUAUGGAGAAAAUUGGUCUCUGCUCAGAUCUCUUAUCAGCACAGCCUUCCAGGAUCACCGGAAACAAAAUAGCACCCUCAGUCCUGGCAACCCAUAGGAGCCUCCUGUUUCACUUCCCUGUUCUGCCUUUAUGGCUAUCUGAUAUACUGUCUGCUUGCUUGCUGCUCGUCCCCCACUACUGGAAGACAAAGCGCCACGAGGGGUGAGCACACGGUUCCAGCUGGAACCUCAGAACACGAAGCAGGGCCCUCCCAGAUGGUGGAUGCCCAAGCUUGCCAAAGCCUGACACCAAGACCUCUGAGAGACACCCAGCGUGGAUACUGAGACUUCUCCAACCUGAUGUCUCUGGGCUACAAGCUGAGUUUGAGCAUUCCUCAUUGAUGUGGUGACUUCUGUCUGCCCAGAGAGUUGCCAGAGUCUUCUUCCAUGGAAACUCAGGGCCUGGGUUCUGCCUGGUGAAACUGUUAGUUUGUCGGGGGCAUUCAUUGGCUUUCUACCCGACUUAUCAGGAGAUCUGAAGUGAAAUAAACCAGAUUAUGGCUAA